CUAACAUAGAGUUCAAGGGUUUCCAUUUCUCCACAUCCUCCUUAGCUCUUAAUUUCCCUUCCUCCCUCCUUGCUUCCUUCCUUCCUCCCUUCCUUCUUUUUUCUGUUUUUUCUUGUGAUUCUACAGACAGAAGCUAGAGCCUUAGGCAUACUAGUCACCCACUCUACCGCACAAAUAUACGCUUGCCUCUCUUGGAUUUCAGAUAACACCAAUCUUACAGAAUUGCGGAUUUAAAGACAAUUUUGCCCAAUACAUGAUCAUGCAGUGAAACCAUUUUGAACUAGAGCAAGUGAUUUUAAAUUGAUCUAUUUUCCAUCACUGGACACAGUUGCCGAAACCUGUGCUUUAAGGGAAGAGUGUUUUGUUCUCCUCUGUUGCGAGUGAGGGAUCACGAUCUCAGAGGAUCCGACCCUACUACUCCGUCUCCAGGCAGGAAGGACACACAGGAAAUCGAGAGAGGAGAGCAGCUGGGAACAAGCACGCACCGUUCCCGGGCCGUCGCCAGGGAUCCAGCCCCGGACAGACCCCACCUCUGGG
rnacentral:lncRNA from 1 species